UACGUAGGGGGCAAGCGUUGUCCGGAAUCAUUGGGCGUAAAGCGCGUGUAGGCGGCUUCGUAAGUCCGUUGUGAAAGUCCAGGGCUCAACCCUGGAAUGCCGAUGGAUACUGCGGAGCUAGAGUCCGGAAGAGGCGAGUGGAAUUCCUGGUGUAGCGGUGAAAUGCGCAGAUAUCAGGAGGAACACCGGUGGCGAAGGCGGCAUCCUGGACCAACACUGACGCUGAGGAGCGAAAGCCAGGGGAGCAAACGGA
rnacentral:rRNA from 1 species